rnacentral:rRNA from 1 species
AGAGUUUGAUCCUGGCUCAGGAUGAACGCUAGCGAUAGGCUUAACACAUGCAAGUCGAGGGGCAGCAUGGUCUUAGCUUGCUAAGACUGAUGGCGACCGGCGCACGGGUGCGUAACGCGUAUGCAACUUGCCUCACAGAGGGGGAUAACCCGUCGAAAGACGGACUAAUACCGCGUACACUCCAUCUUGGGCAUCCAAGGUAGAGGAAAUGAAAUUCGCUGUGAGAUAGGCAUGCGUCCCAUUAGCUAGUUGGUGAGGUAACGGCUCACCAAGGCGACGAUGGGUAGGGGAACUGAGAGGUUGAACCCCCACACUGGUACUGAGACACGGACCAGACUCCUACGGGAGGCAGCAGUGAGGAAUAUUGGUCAAUGGGCGAGAGCCUGAACCAGCCAAGUCGCGUGAAGGAUGACUGUCUUAUGGAUUGUAAACUUCUUUUAUACGGGAAUAACAAGAGUCACGUGUGGCUCCCUGCAUGUACCGUAUGAAUAAGCAUCGGCUAACUCCGUGCCAGCAGCCGCGGUAAUACGGAGGAUGCGAGCGUUAUCCGGAUUUAUUGGGUUUAAAGGGUGCGUAGGCGGCCUGUUAAGUCAGCGGUGAAAUCUAGGAGCUUAACUCCUAAAUUGCCAUUGAUACUGGCGGGCUUGAGUGUAGAUGAGGUAGGCGGAAUGCGUGGUGUAGCGGUGGAAUGCAUAGAUAUCACGCAGAACUCCGAUUGCGAAGGCAGCUUACUAAGGUACAACUGACGCUGAAGCACGAAAGCGUGGGUAUCAAACAGGAUUAGAUACCCUGGUAGUCCACGCUGUAAACGAUGAUAACUGGGCGUAUGCGAUAUACAGUAUGCUCCUAAGCGAAAGCGUUAAGUUAUCCACCUGGGGAGUACGCCGGCAACGGUGAAACUCAAAGGAAUUGACGGGGGCCCG